ACGAGGACGACGCUGGGCGGCGUGCUUAAAACAUGCAAGUCGAACGGACUUCUCAUGAAGCUUGCGAUUGAGAAGUUAGUGGCGGACGGGUGAGUAACGCGUGGGCAACCUGCCCCUGAGCCCGGGAUAACAGUUCGAAAGGACUGCUAAGACCGGAUAUACUUGCGGGGAAGCAUUUCUCUGUAAGGAAAGGGAACGCUCAGGGAUGGGCCCGCGUCCCAUUAGCUAGUUGGUGAGGUAACGGCCCACCAAGGCGACGAUGGGUAGCCGGCCUGAGAGGGUGAACGGCCACACUGGGACUGAGACACGGCCCAGACUCCUACGGGAGGCAGCAGUUGGGAAUCUUCGGCAAUGGGCGCAAGCCUGACCGAGCAACGCCGCGUGAGUGAUGAAGGUUUUCGGAUUGUAAAGCUCUGUCUUCCGGGACGAUAAUGACGGUACCGGAGGAGGAAGCCACGGCUAACUACGUG
rnacentral:rRNA from 1 species